AUACUCCAAGUUAUUUAGAAGUGAGCUCAUGGAUGACAAUGACUCACUGGGUUCAACACCUUGUUCACCCACAGUUAAGGGUUCUCUUGAGGAUGCCACUGAUGGUCAUGCCUUUGAGCGACAGUUUUCAAAGUUUAGUUCUUUCAAUUUCAAGCCAAACAAUGGGAAAUCUGGCCAGAUGGCUGUUCCACCAGAAGAAUUAAGGUGUCCAAUAUCAUU
rnacentral:misc_RNA from 1 species